UAGGAUUUGGUGUAAUAUGGUAGCACGAAGAAUUUUGGAUUCUUAGGAUUAGGUUCGAUUCCUAUAGCCCUAG
rnacentral:tRNA from 1 species